rnacentral:ncRNA from 2 species
CCAACCCACAUGGGAGAGACCGGGUCGACGUGAGGCGCUUGUCGCCUGACCUCGGCUCGGCGCCGAAGGGGCAACAUCCCCGGAACCUCUCAGGCACCCGGACCAUGUGGCGAGG